UACAUUUUACUUUGGUGAUUGAACUCUAUGUUAUGAUUUCAGGUGUCUGCAAUAGUUUCUUGUUUGCUAGGACCUGAAAGAGCAGAGAAAAUCAAGAUAUUUGCAGGAGAUGUUGUUCCACGUAAAAAGCCUGAUCCGGCCAUUUACACAUUAGCAGCCAGCACUCUGGGUGUUGAUCCUUCCAGUUGCGUAGUGGUAGAGGACAGCGCAAUCGGUCUUGCUGCCGCCAAAGCUGCCGGAAUGAAGUGUAUAGUAACAAAGAGUGGUUACACGGCGGAUGAAGACUUUUUAAAUGCAGAUGCAGUAUUUGAUUGCAUCGGAGAUCCUCCUGAAGAGCGUUUUGACUUGGCAUUCUGUGGUAGCCUUCUUGAAAAGCAAUAAUCUUAACUAUGCCUCAAUUGUUCAGGUUUCUGUAUAUCAUUCUUUUUAUUGCCUUUAUUUGUGACCAACUGCACCUUUAAGUAAAAAAUGUUGGUCUUACUUAAGCUAACGCGGUGUGUUGCAUGCAAAAUAAGCAGAAAGUAAACGAUGGAAGCUGCUAGAAUGCCAUAAUCCGAUGCUUAAUUUCUUGUACAAAUGCAUGAAGUUUGGAUUGCACCGAACCAGUAUUACUUAAUGAAUAUCUCAUUUUUUUACGCCAA